rnacentral:rRNA from 1 species
GAUGAACGCUGGCGGCGUGCCUAAUACAUGCAAGUCGAACGAACAGACGAGGAGCUUGCUCCUCUGACGUUAGCGGCGGACGGGUGAGUAACACGUGGAUAACCUACCUAUAAGACUGGGAUAACUUCGGGAAACCGGAGCUAAUACCGGAUAACAUGUUGAACCGCAUGGUUCAACAGUGAAAGACGGUCUUGCUGUCACUUAUAGAUGGAUCCGCGCCGCAUUAGCUAGUUGGUAAGGUAACGGCUUACCAAGGCAACGAUGCGUAGCCGACCUGAGAGGGUGAUCGGCCACACUGGAACUGAGACACGGUCCAGACUCCUACGGGAGGCAGCAGUAGGGAAUCUUCCGCAAUGGGCGAAAGCCUGACGGAGCAACGCCGCGUGAGUGAAGGAGGUCUUCGGAUCGUAAAACUCUGUUAUUAGGGAAGAACAAAUGUGUAAGUAACUAUGCACGUCUUGACGGUACCUAAUCAGAAAGCCACGGCUAACUACGUG